rnacentral:misc_RNA from 1 species
AAAGUCGUAACAAGGUUUCCGUAGGUGAACCUGCGGAAGGAUCAUUAUUGAAUAAACCUGAUGGGUUGUUGCUGGCUUCUAGGAGCAUGUGCACGCUUGUCAUCUUUAUCCAUCCACCUGUGCACCUUUUGUAGUCUUGGAGUAAUGAGUGUAAAACAUAUCGAGGAACAACUUUGGUCCUCGGACAGAGGCCUGCCAUGCGAUAGUGUGGCUGACCUUAUUAUUUGCACAAGUUCUCUGAGUCUAUGUUUUUCAUAUACCACACAAAAUGUAAUAGAAUGUUUAUUGGGCCCUAGUGCCUAUAAAAUGAAAUACAACUUUCAGCAACGGAUCUCUUGGCUCUC